UGCGUAGGUGGUUUAAUAAGUCAGUGGUGAAAGCUGGUUGCUCAACAAUCAAGUUGCCAUUGAUACUGUUAGACUUGAGAGAAGUGGAGGCUGGUGGAAUGGAUGGUGUAGCGGUGAAAUGCAUAGAUAUCAUCCAGAACGUCAAUUGCGAAGGCAGCUGGCUGUACUUUUUCUGACACUGAGGCACGAAAGUGUGGGGAUCAAACAGGAUUAGAUACCCCUGUA
rnacentral:rRNA from 1 species